rnacentral:lncRNA from 1 species
AGUAAUUUAUGGUUUCUCUGGUUUAUGGCCUCACAGUAUUGUCUUCUCAUAAGGCAGGUAGGUGGGAAUUAUAAGGCAUCUCAGACCAUAGACUUGGCUGCAGGAGAGGACAAUCCCUUAUCAUUAACAAAGUACUCAUUCCAAGAGAUUGAUCACAGAAAUGCCAGUAGCUAUAAUUGCCGUUUUGGCCCGUAG